CUUUCUUCCUUUUGGUGCGAGCUUGCUGUGGUUUUUGCUCUGGGUCCUCUGGGAUGGCGCCUGGCUGUGGCCGCGUGGUCUCUCACGCAGGGGCGCCGGGCGGGGGAACGCGGCCACCCUGAGUCUGGUGGAAGAUGGAUGCCUGAAGUGUAGACUGCUGCUAGCUGAAUACCAUCUGGGAGCAUAAAGGUGACCUGAAGGAUGUCCUUGGUGAGGAUUUUGAAAAUUUGAUCUUCACAAGAGUUGCCUGGAUCAUUUGAAAUUUCUGGGAGUCUGAGGAGUACUGACAUAAUUACCUGCUGGAGUCUGUAAAUACACAUUUAAGACAGUGAGGAUGUGAAUAAAUAUAUUAAUG
rnacentral:lncRNA from 1 species